AGCAGCAGCCACGGUAAAACGAAGGGUGCAAGCGUUAAUCGGAAUUACUGGGCGUAAAGCGUGCGUAGGCGGUUUGUUAAGUCUGCUGUGAAAUCCCCGGGCUCAACCUGGGAAUGGCAGUGGAUACUGGCAAGCUAGAGUGUGUCAGAGGAUGGUGGAAUUCCCGGUGUAGCGGUGAAAUGCGUAGAGAUCGGGAGGAACAUCAGUGGCGAAGGCGGCCAUCUGGGACAACACUGACGCUGAGGCACGAAAGCGUGGGGAGCAAACAGGAUUAGAUACCCGAGUAGUCCCUGUCUCUUAUAA
rnacentral:rRNA from 1 species